rnacentral:rRNA from 1 species
AACCCUUUCUACAGGCUUAACACAUGCAAGUCGAGGGGCAGCAUGGUCUUAGCUUGCUAAGGCCGAUGGCGACCGGCGCACGGGUGAGUAACGCGUAUCCAACCUGCCUUACACUCUUGGACAGCCUUCUGAAAGGGAGAUUAAUACAAGAUGUUAUCAUGAGUAAGCAUUUUCGCAUGAUUAAAGGUUUACCGGUGUAAGAUGGGGAUGCGUUCCAUUAGAUAGUAGGCGGGGUAACGGCCCACCUAGUCUUCGAUGGAUAGGGGUUCUGAGAGGAAGGUCCCCCACAUUGGAACUGAGACACGGUCCAAACUCCUACGGGAGGCAGCAGUGAGGAAUAUUGGUCAAUGGACGAGAGUCUGAGCCAGCCAAGUAGCGUGAAGGAUGAAGGUUCUAUGGAUUGUAAACUUCUUUUAUACGGGAAUAAACGAAUCCACGUGUGGAUUUUUGCAUGUACCGUAUGAAUAAGGAUCGGCUAACUCCGUGCCAGCAGCCGCGGUAAUACGGAGGAUCCGAGCGUUAUCCGGAUUUAUUGGGUUUAAAGGGAGCGUAGAUGGGUUGUUAAGUCAGUUGUGAAAGUUUGCGGCUCAACCGUAAAAUUGCAAUUGAUACUGGCAGUCUUGAGUACAGUUGAGGUAGGCGGAAUUCGUGGUGUAGGGGUGAAAUGCUUAGAUAUCACGAAGAACUCCGAUUGCGAAGGCAGCUUACUAACCUGUAACUGACAUUGAUGCUCGAAAGUGUGGGUAUCAAACAGGAUUAGAUACCCUGGUAGUCCACACGGUAAACGAUGAAUACUCGCUGUAGGCGAUAUACAGUCUGCGGCCAAGAGAAAGCAUUAAGUAUUCCACCUGGGGAGUACGCCGGCAACGGUGAAACUCAAAGGAAUUGACGGGGGCCCGCACAAGCGGAGGAACAUGUGGUUUAAUUCGAUGAUACGCGAGGAACCUUACCCGGGCUUAAAUUGCAACCGAAUAUGGCGGAAACGCUAUAGCUAGCAAUAGCGGUUGUGAAGGUGCUGCAUGGUUGUCGUCAGCUCGUGCCGUGAGGUGUCGGCUUAAGUGCCAUAACGAGCGCAACCCUUGCCGAUAGUUACUAACAGGUCAUGCUGAGGACUCUGUCGGGACUGCCAUCGUAAGAUGUGAGGAAGGUGGGGAUGACGUCAAAUCAGCACGGCCCUUACGUCCGGGGCUACACACGUGUUACAAUGGGGGGUACGGAGGGCUGCUACCACGCAAGUGGAUGCCAAUCCCAAAAACCUCUCUCAGUUCGGAUUGAAGUCUGCAACCCGACUUCAUGAAGCUGGAUUCGCUAGUAAUCGCGCAUCAGCCACGGCGCGGUGAAUACGUUCCCGGGCCUUGUACACACCGCCCGUCAAGCCAUGGGAGCCGGGGGUACCUGAAGUGCGUAACCGCAAGGAGCGCCCUAGGGUAAAACUGGUGACUGGGGCUAAG